rnacentral:rRNA from 1 species
AGUGAACGCUGGCGGUAGGCCUAACACAUGCAAGUCGAACGGCAGCACAGUAAGAGCUUGCUCUUACGGGUGGCGAGUGGCGGACGGGUGAGGAAUACAUCGGAAUCUACUUUUUCGUGGGGGAUAACGUAGGGAAACUUACGCUAAUACCGCAUACGACAUACGGGUGAAAGCAGGGGAUCUUCGGACCUUGCGCGAUUGAAUGAGCCGAUGUCGGAUUAGCUAGUUGGCGGGGUAAAGGCCCACCAAGGCGACGAUCCGUAGCUGGUCUGAGAGGAUGAUCAGCCACACUGGAACUGAGACACGGUCCAGACUCCUACGGGAGGCAGCAGUGGGGAAUAUUGGACAAUGGGCGCAAGCCUGAUCCAGCCAUACCGCGUGGGUGAAGAAGGCCUUCGGGUUGUAAAGCCCUUUUGUUGGGAAAGAAAAGCAGCAGGUUAAUACCCCACUGUUCUGACGGUACCCAAAGAAUAAGCACCGGCUAACCUCGUG